UUCGCAAUGCCCGAAAGGGUGACGAUGCGACGCCGCGUGAGCGAAGAAGGCCCUAGGGUUGUAAAGCUCUGUCGAGGGUUAUGAAAUAUAGAUGGGUUAAUACCCCAUUUAUUUGACAAAAGCCCAAAAGGAAGCCACGGCUAACUCUGUGCCAGCAGCCGCGGUAAUACAGAGGUGGCGAGCGUUGUUCGGUAUUAUUGGGCGUAAAGAGCACGUAGGUGGUUUUGUAAGUCAGGUGUGAAAGCCUUCUGUUCAAAGGAAGAACGGCAUCUGAAACUGCAGAUCUUGAGUGUAGGAGGGGAGAGUGGAACUUCUGGUGGAGCGGUGAAAUGCGUAGAUAUCAGAAGGAACGUCGGCGGCGAAAGCGACUCUCUGGCCUAUUACUGACACUGAGGUGCGAAAGUUAGGGGAGCAAAUGGGAUUAGAUACCCCGGUAGUCCUAACCGUAAACGAUGGGCACUAAGUAGAGGGGUUUU
rnacentral:rRNA from 1 species